UGGGGAAUAUUGGACAAUGGGCGAAAGCCUGAUCCAGCCAUGCCGCGUGUGUGAAGAAGGUCUUCGGAUUGUAAAGCACUUUAAGUUGGGAGGAAGGGCAUUAACCUAAUACGUUAGUGUUUUGACGUUACCGACAGAAUAAGCACCGGCUAACUCUGUGCCAGCAGCCGCGGUAAUACAGAGGGUGCAAGCGUUAAUCGGAAUUACUGGGCGUAAAGCGCGCGUAGGUGGUUUGUUAAGUUGGAUGUGGAAUCCCCGGGCUCAACCUGGGAACUGCAUUCAAAACUGACUGACUAGAGUAUGGUAGAGGGUGGUGGUAUUUCCUGUGUAGCGGUGAAAUGCGGAGAUAUAGGAAGGAACACCAGUGGCGAAGGCGACCACCUGGACUAAUACUGACACUGAGGUGCGAAAGCGUGGGGAGCAAACA
rnacentral:rRNA from 1 species